ensembl:misc_RNA 7SK 7SK RNA
AAUUGAGAGCAAGCUGUCUGCGACAUCUGUCAACCCCACUGAUUGCCAGAAUUGAUUUGGUAGAUCUGCCCUGCUGGAAAGGUGUCCCCUUUCUUCCUGGCUCUGCCACAUGUGUCUCUCCCAAAGCUGCACGCUUCAUUGAAGAGGAUGGUUUUCCUAGAGAGGGGAGGACAAGGAUCUACAAGGAGUCAAGUUCUCCUGUGGGACUAUCCAGGCCUUGGAUAGUAGGGUCUCUGCCACUAGACAAUGAGCCACUUGAAGGUGGAGAUCUCAUCUUUGUGU